rnacentral:rRNA from 1 species
AUUGAACGCUGGCGGCAUGCUUUACACAUGCAAGUCGAACGGUAACAGGCCUUCGGGUGCUGACGAGUGGCGAACGGGUGAGUAAUGCAUCGGAACGUACCCAGAGGUGGGGGAUAACGCAGCGAAAGCUGUGCUAAUACCGCAUGUGAUCUGAGGAUGAAAGCGGGGGACCGAGCAGCAAUGUUUGGCCUCGCGCCUUUGGAGCGGCCGAUGUCGGAUUAGCUAGUUGGUGGGGUAAAGGCCUACCAAGGCGACGAUCCGUAGCUGGUCUGAGAGGACGACCAGCCACACUGGGACUGGGACACGGCCCAGCCUCCUACGGGAGGCAGCAGUGGGGAAUUUUGGACAAUGGGCGCAAGCCUGAUCCAGCAAUGCCGCGUGCGGGAAGAAGGCCUCCGGGUUGUAAACCGCUUUUGGCAGGAACGAAACGGUGUCCGCUAAUACCGGGCGCUAAUGACGGUACCUGCAGAAUAAGCACCGGCUAACUACGUG